rnacentral:rRNA from 1 species
AGAGUUUGAUCCUCGCGUCAGGACGAACGCUGCGGGCGUGCUUAACACAUGCAAGUCGAACGGAGUGCCUCGGAAAGAGAUUCGGUCAAUGGAAGAGGUUACUUAGUGGCGGACGGGUGAGUAACGCGUGAGGAACCUGCCUUCAGAGGGGACGAACAGUUGGAAACGACUGCUAAUACCGCAUAACAUAUGUUUGUCGCAUGGCAGAUAUAUCAAAGAUUUAUCGCUGAGAGAUGGCCUCGCGUCUGAUUAGCUGGUUGGUAGGGUAACGGCCUACCAAGGCGACGAUCAGUAGCCGGACUGAGAGGUUGGCCGGCCACAUUGGGACUGAGAUACGGCCCAGACUCCUACGGGAGGCAGCAGUGGGGAAUAUUGGGCAAUGGGCGCAAGCCUGACCCAGCAACGCCGCGUGAAGGAAGAAGGCUUUCGGGUUGUAAACUUCUUUUAGGAGGGAAGAGCAGAAGACGGUACCUCUUGAAUAAGCUCCGGCUAACUACGUG